CUAACAGCUAACUAUCUAGCGGUUAGCAUCAGCAUGAACGGCUAGCGUUAGCUUUAGCACUAGCCUUCUGUUUUUCGGCCAUUUUCCCUCGUUUUUAUCGCGUGGGUCCGAAUGUGUUUGUGUCUCUGAGUCCAAAUCAUCUCUGCGCUAACUAAUUAGCAUUAUCGUGGAGUGUUAGCCUUAGCAUUAGCCUCGUCUCUUAGCGGUACCUUUUAGCUGUGUUCCGUUGUUUGUAUCGCGUGGCUCAGAGUGUUAGUGUUUCUCUGACAUGAGUUGUGGGUCCAUUAAAUGAGCCUCUCUCGGUCUGUUUCCAUCUCUUCACGCUCUCUGUUCAGACAUGUCGUGUCUCUGUAAUGGUGUGUUCCAUCCGGGUCAUCUGAAGUCAGUUUGUUUCGGGUGUCACCACUUCGUCCACGACAUUCGUCCACAAUCGGAGAGACAUUGUUGAAGGAUGAGGGAGACAUCGUCCACGAUCAGAGACAUUGUCCCGUGACUCGUGGUGACUCGGUCCCCGAUAAGUCGGCACUGCCGGCGUUCAUGGAGACAUUGUCGAUGAUCGCUAGAGACUUUGUCCAUGAUCUCAGAGACAUUGUCUGCGAUCGCAGAGAGUCUUCGUACAGUGACGUUCUUUGAGACCAGGACAGAGGCCUCCAGGUGACACCACUUCGUCCACGACAUCGUUCACAAUUGCUGAGACGUCGUCCAUGAUCGGAGAGACAUUGUUGAGGAUGAGGGAGACAUCGUCCACGAUCAGAGACGUUGUCCGUGAUCGCAGAGAGAUCAUCCAAAACCUUGGUAUGUAAUGAAUAUAUCAGUGAAUAUACA